UGAAUGGUUUGACGAGAGCUGUGCUGUCUCUUCUAAAAUAUUUAGAAAUUAACUUUUAGGUGAAGAGGCCUAAAUUUAUUUAAGGGACAAGAAGACCCUGUUGAGCUUUAGUGAUGUUGUAAAUGAUAUGAAGUAAGGUGUUACUAAUUUGUUAUGUAUUUAUUAUAAUAAAAAUUUACAAAUAAUCUUUAGUUGGGGCGACUGAGGAACACAGAAAGCUUCCUUGAGUAUAAAAUUAUUUAAAUUAUUAAAUGAGUGCUGAUGCUUAUGUGUUAUUUUGAUCCAAAUUAUUUUGAUUAAAGGAAAAAGUUACCACAGGGAUAACAGCGUAAUCUUUCUGGAGAGAUCUUAUCGAAAGAAGGGUUUGCGACCUCGAUGUUGGACUAAGAUAUCCUAAGGGUGCAGAAGCUCUUAAAGGUUGGUCUGUUCGACCAUUAAAAUCUU
rnacentral:rRNA from 1 species